CAUUAAGCACAUAUUCAAAAAAUUAACAAGAUUGAAACAUUAUUCUCGACACAACAGGAUCGAAAACUUCGUUAUGCUCGUAAUCAUCACCCAGUGUCAGUUCAAAAUAUUAUAAUCUUUUUAAUUUUCUAUUAAUUUUGAAACUUAUCCAAAAGUUGGAAUUCAUCCAUUUUAAAAUAACACAUCCUUUUCUUUUUAAAAAAUAAUUAUUUAUUUAUUUUGAGAAUUUUUAUCUCAUAAUAUCAUCACACAGAUAAAAAAAAUAAAAAUAAGUACUUAUGCCAAAAUUCAAUUUAAAAAUGUCGACGCUGCGCAAAACACAUUUCUCUACACGACCUUAAUUAUUACAUUACCUUUUGCAUAAUAAAACCUACUACAUCACUACAAGAUGUACAUCAGAAAAGGAAUGUUCUACAGGAAUGCUGCACACAUCGAACCCAUUUUUUUAAAAUUAAAUUUUGGUGAAAAAACACCGAAAUAACAUACGUACUUAUAUGCCAAAAAAAUUUAUACAAUCAUAUGCUAUAUAAGCAUUUAAAAUGCACCCACAUAGAAUAAAUUAAAUAAACAACACAU
rnacentral:lncRNA from 1 species